rnacentral:lncRNA from 1 species
ACAAGAGAGAGAAGGGAAGAGAGAGAGAGGGAGAUAGAGGGAAAAAGGAGGGUCCCCGACUUCCUUACAGAGAACAUCUGAUGAAAGCCACCAAGGUACUUGAAUUGCUUCUAAAGACCUCGGAAUGGGAAGGACUGAGUUUCAUCUUCAGCCCGUUGGUGGUCAUAUUUUCCUGCGGUGGCUGACACUCAGGAGGCGUGGGAUAGAAGGUGACUGCUUGCGCUACUCGGUGUCCUUGCAGUUGCCAGCCUCCCAGGGACUCUGCUCACCUAAGAAGCCCACUGAAUAACAGGUUUUUUCAAGAGAGAAAGAAAGAAAACAGAUCCGCUAUAAAUGAGGACAACUUUGACUCAUAAACAGUUCAUGUGCUCAGAGAGGAAAGGCACCUGGUACUUUCUAAAGGAAAGCACCUCCAAAUACCAGUACCGUGUGGUGGGAGGGCAAUUCUUUGCCUUGUCAAAUGGUACUGAAGCUUGAGGUCUGUUUCUGCCACCACGCCUGGAGUAACUGUCAGGGCCUCUUAUUUCUCAGA